rnacentral:rRNA from 1 species
AAGCUACUAAGAGCUUAUGGUGAAUGCCUUGGCGUCAAGCGCCGAUGAAGGACGUGGGACACUGCGAAAAGUCUCCGGGGAGCCGUGUACAGGCGUCGAUCCGAGAAUGUCCGAAUAGGGAAACCUGCUGUUGCGAACCAACAGCGUCCUCUUACCGAACACAUAGGUUUGAGGAUGGGAACCUGGGGAACUGAAACAUCUAAGUACCCAGAGGAAAAGAAACGAUUCCCCCAGUAGUGGCGAGCGAACGGGGAACAGCCCAAACCGCCCAUGCUUGCAUGGACGGGGUUGUAGGACCGGCAUAUGGAAGUUACAAAACAAUCAGUUAGCGGAAAGGUGUGGGAAAGCCUGCCAAAGAGGGUAACAGCCCCGUAUGCGAAAACUGACUGUCUUCCGCCGUGUUCCUGAGUACUGCCGGGCACGCUAAUCCGGCAGGAAGCUAGGGAGUCCACUCUCUAAGGCUAAAUACGCUUGACGACCGAUAGUGAACUAGUACCGUGAGGGAAAGGUGAAAAGUCCCCCUGUUAGGGGAGUGAAAUAGAACCUGAAACCGUAAGCUUACAAGCAGUUGGAGGGCUACGACAGGUCGAGCGCCGCAGAAAUGCGGAGGUUCCCUGUAAUGCCUGACAGCGUGCCUCUUGGAGAAUGAGCCUGCGAGUUAAUCUCAGUGGCAAGGUUAAGGGAGUGACACCCGAAGCCGUAGCGAAAGCGAGUCUGAAUAGGGCGCAUAGUCGCUGGGAUUAGGCCCGAAACCGUGUGAGCUACCCAUGGGCAGGGUGAAGCGAGUCUAAACGCUCGUGGAGGCCCGAACCCACUAACGUUGCAAAGUUAGGGGAUGACCUGUGGGUAGAGGUGAUAUGCCAAUCGAACACGGAGAUAGCUGGUUCUCCCCGAAAUAGCUUUAGGGCUAGCGUCAUGCGUUUAGUACUGGAGGUACAGCACUGAAUGGGCUAAGGGGCUUACAGCUUACUGAACCCAAUCAAACUCGGAAUGCCAGUACUCCAUAGCAUGGCAGUCGGACGCCGGGAGAUGAGUUUCGGUGUCGAAAGGGAAACAGCCCAGAUCAUCGGCUAAGGUCCUCAAAUCUAUGCUAAGUGGUGAACGAGGUGAGGUUACUUGAACAACCAGGAGGUUGGCUUAGAAGCAGCCACCCUUUAAAAAGUGCGUAACAGCUUACUGGUCUAGUGACUUUGCGCGGAAAACUCAACGGGGCUAAGCAUAGUACCGAAGCCAUGAGUCUCGUCGCAAGACGGGGCAGUAGGGGAGCGUUCUGUCAGCGGUGAAGGUCGAUCGUAAGGGCGACUGGAGCGGACAGAAGUGAGAAUGCAGGCAUGAGUAGCGUACAAACACGUGAGAACCGUGUUCGCCGUAAAUCUAAGGUUUCCGACGCCAGGUCAUUCCGCGUCGGGUUAGUCGAGUCCUUAGCCGAGGCCGAGAGGCGUAGGCGAUGGACAUCCGGUUAAUAUUCCGGAACCGCUAGAGAGUGCGAUGGGAGGACGCAACGAGGUAGGCCAGCCCAUUAUUGGAUUUGGGUUCGAACCAUUUAGGCGUUGAGACCGGCAGGGAAAUCCGCCGGUUGAGCCGAGGUGGGAGCGGGCUGUAAUAAGCGAAGUGGCUGAGCCUUGUUGCCCAGAAAAGUCUCUAAGCAUAACUCUUUAGCGCUCGUACCGCAAACCGACACUGGUAGAUGGGUAGAGUAUACCAAGGCGAACGGGAGAACCCUCGUUAAGGAACUAGGCAACAUGACCCCGUAACUUCGGGAGAAGGGGUACCCCCUGGGGUGUCAAAGCCCCGGAGGGUCGCAGUGAAAUGGCUCUGGUGACUGGUUAACAAAACCACAGGUCUCUGCUAAGCCGUAAGGCGAUGUAUAGGGGCUGACGCGUGCCCAGUGCUGGAAGGUUAAAGGGAGAGGUUAGGCGCAAGCCAAAGCUUUGAACUGAAGCCCCAGUGAACGGCGGCCGUAACUAUAAGAUAACCGUUGUAGUUACGCUAAUAAACUUAGCCAUAUGCUGGAAACUCUGGUGUAUCUGGCGCUACUUCGCAAGGAGUAACAAUGCGACCAGUGCAGACAAUCAGCAGGAAAGACUUGGUGCCAUGAGUGAAAAUGUCCCUGAUAACGUAGGAUAUUACUUAGCUGGCUUUGUAGAUGGCGAAGGAAGUUUCAACAUCAGUAUAAAGAAAGCUGAUGAUCGCCCUCUUGGCUGGCGGGUAAGCGCUUGUUUCAAUGUUUCGCAACGUGAAAAGCAGGUGCUUGAGUUGUUGCAACAAUCUCUUGGUUGUGGCACAAUCCGAAAAAGAUGGGAUGGCGUACAUUAUUACGAGGUUAAUAGCCAUAUUGACCUUGUGGAAAGGGUAAUCCCUUUCUUUCGCAAGUUCUUAUUGCGUUCUCCUGCUAAAAAUGAGACGCUUGAGAUAUUCUCUCAAAUUUGCGAGAUGAUGUGCGAUGGAGAACAUCUGACCGAUAGUGGUUUGCGUGAAAUUGUUCAACUAAGGAAGUUGAUGAACAACGAAACAAGCAAACGCCAUCGCAACGAUGAAGAAAUCCUCAGUUCGCUUUAGCAUUAAGAAUCCUCAGAGACUAUACGCUAAGUUCGGCAGGAACGAAGGAUAGCCGCAAGUUCCUGUUUGAAAUGAUAUAGUCCGAUCUUCGUAGCGAUACGAAGGGCUUGACAAAGCCGCACAGAAAUGUGUAACGUAAAUAAACGGUCCUAAGGUAGCGAAAUUCCUUGUCGGGUAAGUUCCGACCCGCACGAAUCGCGUAACAAUUAGAGCACUGUCUCGACGAGGGACCCGGUGAAAUUGAAAUGGCUGUGAAGAUGCGGCCUACCCGCAGCAGGACAAAAAGACCCCGUGGAGCUUUACUGCAACUUGGCAUUGUAUUUGGACAUGAUCUGUGUAGCAUAGGUGGGAGGCUUUGAAGCUGGCGCGUCAGCGUCGGUGGAGCCGCCAGUGAAAUACCACCCUGAUUAUGUUUAGAUCCUAACCCCAUUCCGUCAUCCGGAUGGGGGACCGUGCCAGGUGGGCAGUUUGACUGGGGCGGUCGCCUCCCAAAAGGUAACGGAGGCGCCCAAAGGUUCCCUCAGGUGGAAUGGAAACCCACCAUAGAGUGUAAAGGCAUAAGGGAGCUUGACUGUAAGGCCAACGCGCCGAACAGAGUCGAAAGACGGGCUUAGUGAUCCCACGGUACCGAGUGGAAGGGCCGUGGCUUACCGGAUAAAAGCUACCCCGGGGAUAACAGGCUGGUGAGAUCCAAGAGUUCACAUCGACGAUCUCGCUCGGCACCUCGAUGUCGGCUCAUCGCAUCCUGGGGCUGGACAAGGUCCCAAGGGUCGGGCUGUUCGCCCGUUAAAGCGGUACGCGAGCUGGGUUCAGACCGUCGUGAGACAGGUCGGUCUCUAUCCGCUGUGGGCGUAAGGGAUUUGAAGGGAGCUGCUCCUAGUACGAGAGGACCGGAGUGGACAGACCUCUAGUGUGCCAGUUGUUCCGCCAGGAGCAUCGCUGGGUAGCCAUGUCUGGCAGAGAUAACCGCUGAAAGCAUCUAAGUGGGAAACUCGCCCUAAGAUUAGAUCCCUGUAUUCCCGUAAGGGAGUAAGACCCCAGGUAGACUACCUGGUAUAUAGGCAGGAUGUGUAAGCGCAGCAAUGCGUUCAGCUAACCUGUACUAAUGGUCGAGGGCUUC